ensembl:lncRNA
GUUUUAUUACUUUUGUUUUGUUUUUUUGUCAUUUCUUUUUUUUCAAAUAUUCCUAUCUAGUUUUUAUUUGUUUUUAUUUUAGCUAAUUUGUUUUGUUAUUUUAGUACAUCAAAUUAAAUGACAAUAAAAUGACAGAUACUGCCUUGGCAGCUGGAUAUCUUAACGUAAGUUAACGUCUGUUUUAUUUAGUAACAAAAAUGUUUUUAGUUUCAGGUUUAGUUUUAGUUAACUAUAAUAACCCUAAUGUGUUUAUGUCUGUGUGUGUGUGUGUGUCUGUGUGUGUGUGUGUGUGUGUGUGUCUGUGUUUAACUUAAAUUCUACCCACGUUGCACAUGGUAAACAUAUUAUAACUGCAGUAGUCAUGUGCUGAAGUCCCUGUAUGGUAAAUUAUUUAGGGGCCCUUGGCUGACUCACAGUCUGCGUAGUUGUGAGCCAGCAGGCCUGUCCCGAGUGCUGUAAUGCUAAUACUCUAAUCUGCAGCCAUUAGAGAGCAGCAGGGCCGGCCAGAGCAGGUGGACGGACAGACUGCGGCCGCGGUUAAACAGCCACAUCAUGGCAGUAAUGAGGAAGCUAAAAAGCCAUUUACCUGCAGCGCCCAGGUGGCAGCGAACCUGUUUACCGCGGGAACGCAAGCUGGAAUCAGCAACUGGAAAACAAAAUCAAGCCGUGUCCUGCUGUCCUGUAUCUGAUCGGCCUGUUUGGUCACGGAUGAGUGAGCUGCCCGCUCUUCUGCACUUUCUGGUUGCCGGUUGUUUUUGAUGCCCUCGGGGCGCCAUAGCAGUGAGACAAUAUAAACUAAGAGGACAGGAGAAAAUCAAGUCCUUUUGCAUGCUUUAGAAGUGUUUUUAUGCAUGAUGUGAGGCAGCAGCAGCAAAUACAGUACAUCAAUGUUAAAUUAAUAAGAAUCAGUAUUUUUCUAACAAGUAAUAUAGUUGACUAUUUCUCAUGAUCUGUCUGUGAGAUACAAUUGAUACAAUUAUAGCAGUUGUUCACUGCAUUUCACCGUUCUAUAUGAUUCUCUUUGCCCACAUACAGCAAUAUAUUUAAUAAUACAUGUAUUGGAAACUGUGCCAGAAAUUCUUGUUCACAAAUUCUGAUUCAUGUAUUUAUAAUAGUUCAUCUUGCACAUGACGUGAUGCAUUCCGCAAGACUUUCCCCGUUGGCAAUUUGAAUUUGGUCCAAAUAAAAGACGUCUUAUUUUCA